CUGCCCGAGACUUCACCUAUUCAUCACUGCACUGACGUUCUGGCAGAAGAAACUGAUACUUGAAAUGAUCUGAAGGAUCAGAUCAGCCUUGGCCUGAGAGUUCGAGCUGGUACAUGGAUGGCAGUAGCCUCACAGCUGAAGCAUGCCGGCAUUAACUCACCUGGAACCACGUUUCUGUCACUGAGAUGUUCACAGUCUUUACACCUGAAAAAAACAAAGCCCAUCCAUGCAAGAUGAAACAAUGAAGGGGCAGAUGAAGCAUAUGGACCAGCAUGCACAGACUUCACUGAAACACUGAAGGGGCAGAUGAAGCAUAUGGACCAGCAUGCACAGACUUCACGGAAACCAUAGUGGACUCAUUGUUGAUCCAAUGGAAUAUCUAAAUAAAGUCAUUGUGACACGCUC